GGAAGGAUGUCAUCUUUGACCCUGCCUCCUGACCUUUGACUGUCCCUGACCCCUGCCAGGCCUCGAAACCAUGGUAGCAGCAGGGCUCUGCCAGCCCUGGCCCUGCACUGCUCAUGUCACAACCUGUGGGCACCUCCUCUGUACCAAGGGUGGAAUAGAGGCAGGAGGAAGAAGGCUGCUCCACAGGCACCCCACCACAGCCCUGUCCCACUGGAAGCAGCCUCCUACCCCCAGCACCUGACUUCCAAGCACAGGGAGCUGGUGCCAAGCACUGAGGAGGCUGGGUGGCCCUGAAGUGAUGACUUCUGGGGUGGGAAGUCUAUAAAGAAGGGGGCAUUUCUGUCUCAGGGAUCCUGUGGUUGCUCCCCUACUGGCAACAGCAGAAAUGGCACAGGAGGGGGCUCUGUGGCAUUCACCGUAUCUUCUCUCAGAGUCCAGAUGGGC
rnacentral:lncRNA from 1 species